GAUGAACGCUGGCGGCGUGCCUAAUACAUGCAAGUCGAGCGAACCACUUCGGUGGUGAGCGGCGAACGGGUGAGUAACACGUAGGUGAUCUGCCCAUCAGACGGGGACAACGAUUGGAAACGAUCGCUAAUACCGGAUAGGACGAAAGUUUAAAGGUGCUUCUGGCACCGCUGAUGGAUGAGCCUGCGGCGCAUUAGCUAGUUGGUAGGGUAAAGGCCUACCAAGGCGACGAUGCGUAGCCGACCUGAGAGGGUGAACGGCCACACUGGGACUGAGACACGGCCCAGACUCCUACGGGAGGCAGCAGUAGGGAAUCUUCGGCAAUGGGCGAAAGCCUGACCGAGCAACGCCGCGUGAAUGAUGAAGGCCUUCGGGUUGUAAAAUUCUGUUAUAAGGGAAGAACGACUUUAGUAGGAAAUGGCUAGAGUGUGACGGUACCUUAUGAGAAAGCCACGGCUAACUACGUGCCAGCCGCCGCGGUAAUAC
rnacentral:rRNA from 1 species